rnacentral:rRNA from 1 species
AAGUAGGACCUGCCCUGUGAUUUUUUUUCGGCUGCAGUAUUUUGACUGUGCUAAGGUAGCAUAAUGAUUUGCCUUUUAAUUGGGGGCUAGAAUGAAUGGUUUAACGAGGAAAGAGCUUUUUUUAUUUUUAAAUUAAAUUUUCUAAAAAGGUUAAAAAGCCUUUAAACUUUAGGGGGACGAUAAGACCCUAUAAAACUUUACUUUUAAUAAAUUUUAAAAAGAUUAUGAGAUUUUUAUAAAUUUUUAUUUAAGAGCUUUGCUGGGGCGGCAAAUUUUUAAAUUAAUACACAAACUUUAUUAUAACAUUUAUAAAUGAUUUUUUUAAACCUAAUUUAAUAAUUAAGAUCAAGUUACUUGAGGGAUAACAGCACAAUAUUAUUUUAGAGUCCCUAUCGAAAAAAAUGUUUAUGACCUCGAUGUUGAAUUGAAAGUUCUUUAGUGUGUAGCCUUAUUAGAAGUAAAGUCUGUU